ACUUAAAACUUACUUACUUUACCUUUCACCAUGGGACUUGUAACCGUCACUUCUGUCUUGAGUGGUUAAAAGAUAGAACAGUCCCGUCAAGUGCCAUGUCUCUUAUUCUUGAUCAGCUAUAGCUCUGGAAUUUUUGUAGAUUUUCAAAUAAAACUCAGAGAUUCCUUUGUAUGACUCUCUCAUAUCUCUCUUUUGUGGUAUUUCUGGAUCCUUACCAAGGCAGUGAUGGUAUAUGCCUUCUCUCAAAAUAUGUGGUAUUUGUGGUAUAAGGCAUAGUGACAUUGCCUUCUCUCUCACCCUACUCUAAUAAGGCUUUAAUAUCUGGAGCUUAUAGGUGGGAGAUAAAGUAUACAUACUUACAAGACAUUUAUUGUAUAGUCAAACCAUGGAUCCAAAGAAACAAAUCAAUAAGCCAAAUCAAGAUGUGCAUGUGUGGCGAAUGAAUGGUGUAUAGUGAUGAUGGUGAUAACAAUGGUGAAAGUCUAAUUCUACUUUUGCUCUUAUGAGGGGAUACAUACCUUCCUUGCUUUUUGAAACUUUAUGAGGAGAAUGAGAUGCUCUUCUUUUUCUUUCCUCUCAGGUGGGUAUCUUGUACCCCUAAUUCUACCGUCGGACAUUUGUCCAUUUUUACCUCUCGUCUCACUUUUUCUUUCUUUCGAGGUUCCGGGCACUUGCCCCUUUUUAUUUCCUCGUUUAUUAUUAUUAUUUUUUCUUUUCUUCUCUUUUCUUUUUUUUUCAGAGCACUCAUCUCCUGAAAUAAUGUAGCAAGUGGUAGUAACCAAAAUAACUGGAGCAUUUAUUUCACAGCGAAUAACAGGGAUAGGAAAAUGUUUUUGGCUAUUCUCUCCCGGAUUAGGAGUAGAAUGAUUUUGGGUGAAACUGGAGAUGGAAAUGGAUGGAUAUAUGUGGAUGGUACUUCCGGAGUAGAAGUAGCAUAUAUGAGUGAACGUGCAAGUGAAUCUUGAUUUAACCACAUGACAAGCUCCUAAGGGUCUACACAGCUUGACCACACUCAAUGCUCAUAAGCAGUAAAUAAAUGUGUGGCUCAAAGUCUAGCAAGCAUGUAUAUAUGGCUGUGGUAGGAAUUUAAACUUUCAUCAUACAGGAACUCAUCAUGCAACAUUUUAAAGAUUUUCAAAGAUAAAAUUCUCCAGAAUUCUAGCAUCUCUAGGAACAGAUAAACAGCAGCUCAAUCUUCCCAUAUCUUAUCCGUUAACAACUUAGAUUUCAGAUCAAGUUUUCAUCCCACAAGUUUAAAUCUAGAGCAAGCUUUAUAUUAUAACAGUUAUGUCUAAACUUGAGAGAGAACUUCAAAUUAGGCAGAGCAACUAUUCAUCAUAUCCAUGCUAGAGUUUUAUUAUUAAGAUUCAUAGCAAACUUUAUUUAUUUAUUUAUUUAUUUAUUUAUUUAGCAAACUAAAAAAAGAUAUAUAUAUAUAUAAGCAUAAAAUCUUUAUUUGGUUUUUCAUAGUUUAUGUAUUUUAAUAUUCUAAUAUAAUAUAAGUAUAAAGAUAGGUAGAAAUACUUAGCGAGAUAAAUAGGGGUGCUCUCCCCUAAGCUGAAUUUUGACGUAAUUUCUCUUGAUGUAGCUAGCAGGUGGCAAAGGUGUAUUUGAAAGUCAGCAGCAUUCUGACAGCGAUUAGAAUGUCCUCCGUCUGCUAGUCUUCUUGAUUCUUAAAUUCUGUGGAGCUCAAAUAGACAACAAAGCUUGUGGAACUAAUUAAGUGUUAGCAUAAAUAUCUAGUCUUCAUCACGUUGAGCUUCCUCAAUAAAUAUUACUCCCUGUUUUUAUAUUUUUAUUUUAUAAAGUAAAAAAGAAAUAUUUAUUUUAUUUUUAUGCCACCACAGUGAAGGUACUUAUGGGUUUUAUGCCACUCGUAUACUCACAUGGGGCUUAGUAUUUUUUUUAACAUUUUUAUUUUCUUUUCAAGAUAGCAUGAUUAACUAAUAAUCUAUUUAAGGCAAGUAAAUAAUUAAAGGGAAAAGGGAAUGCAGAAAGGAUAAAUAUGGAUAACUACCCAUCUUACCUUUCGGCGAGGGUUCAAUGUUUUAAGUCUUCUUGACAAGACUUCUCACCGUGUUCAUUCUUCAGGUGCGUCAUUUGAUUCAGGUGCGGACCUUGACGUCUGCACCUUUUAAUACGGGUCACCCAUGUUCUUCGUUUGCCCAGCAGUUCGAAGUGAGGUGUUAGCAGUAUCUUGCUCAGUGUGUUUGUGCUCGUAGUGUACCUGCUCAUAGAGACAAGGCAGAGAUCAAGUGCAUGGGCCCUGUUGGUGGAAAACACCAACAGAACCAAAAGUGUAUUUGUUCUUCUCUAACCUUAAGCAUAGUGAGCAAGACAAAGUUGAUGGAUGAUAAGUUCAUGAGUGUAGCACUUAUAACAUUUGUCAGAUUAGAUCGCUCAACCUUAUGGAAAGAUAAUCUAUCCAUGUAUAUAUCUAUUUCUUUAUAUCUCUCAAUGAUUGAAUAUGUAACAUUUUAGCUCAUAUGAUUAGGAGUGUGGGAUCAUGGAGGUAGUACUAAGAACAAGGAUUAAAGGACUAAACAUGUUGAAUCAGUUGGGUUGGUUAAUCUAGAGUUUAAAUCAUACACGUUUGUCUCUUUUAUUUAUAUGAACGCCAAAACCAAGGAGAAGCUUAUAAAAGUGAUAGUCAAAUAUCUUAGGAUGUUACCUUGCUUGAAAAGUGAUGGUACAGUAUCACCUUGUGGAAGCUUUCCUUUCUUAGCGGUUGUGCAUCGUGUUCGUGGCACCCUCCAUGGAUCAUCUCUCUAUGAUGAAUGAGCUAUGUCCUUCUUGUGCAAAUUGUUAAACUUCAUGUGUCACUCUCUUCGUCUCUGAUGUGAGUUUAUCUCAGGACUUCCCAAAUCGAUAUUGAAAGUUUUUCUCCAGGGGUUAGUCCGACAAAAUAUACCAAUAUCUACUCAAGCAAUUUUUUUAGUUCAAUAACCAAACUAGACUCCAUGUCUAAUCAGAUUAAGAAAGGCUAUUUAACCUAAGCACCAUGCUUAAUUUAAAUGCCAAUGGAAGUAUGGCGAGUACUUCCAAACCAACACUUGCUAGUAAAUAGACAAAGGUAGCAUGACUGCAUUUAUAGAGAUCUACUCAAGUGGAGAUGAAGUAGUGUGAUUAGUAUUUAACAAAUUGAGCAUGUCUCAAAGGUAGGGACUGUUGGGUAUUUUUAACAUCAUUACCAAAAGUAGACUAAGUUCUCUAAAUCUAGCAACGGUGCCAAAAAUGCCAAACCUAUCCCUUACACCACUUAAGCCAAGUUGUCAUCCCCAGCAUGAUAUAAGAGACGCGGUAUUGAAAUAUGCAAUUGCUCUUCUAAAUAAAUAAUGAAUGGGAUUUGCAAGCGCACAGAUUAAUACCGAUGCAGCAUUUUAACCGGGAAGUAUUCCAGGUAUCGUUAUUUAUAUUUUUACCACUGGGAAGGGAUUAGAAAUCAUCACUAUCGAUUACAGAAUAGAAUAUGAGAUUGAGCAUCUAUCAUUGCAUGUAUAAUUGAGAACAUUAUAUCUAACUCUUCAUACAGGGAUAAGUGUCACAUAAAAGAUAUAUGAAAUAAUAAUAGUGACAAGGAUAACUAAUCUGAUCUAGCCACAUAAUAAAUAUGAUAAGCACCUCAAUUAGAUACUCUAGAAAGUCAUUAGCAUGGUAUUAGAACGAACUACAAGAAUAUUCCCUAAGUUAUUCUCAACUAUAUAGUCUAGCAUUAUCAUAGUUAGUGCAAGCAUACUUAGCAAUCAUUGCGAGAUAAGACUACGCCCAUGCAUAGUGAUAUUAGCAAGGAAUAUGAGAAACAUAGCAAUCACUCCCCUGUAAUAAUGUUGCUCUGCCAGCCCAAUACACGAGAGGGGGACUAUAUAAGAAUCAAUGAAGCUGUCACUAUCACGAACUACCCCACGAUCUGGCAUAUUGGGUACAAUCGCAGAUAAAUACGGUAUAAGCACCACGCCUACACAAUAUCUAUCAUUUACCCAUGGAUCCGAUGGAUAAACGCUAUACGAUCCUAAGCAUGUAUAUAGAUCCAAUCUAACUAAGCCAAGUACAUAACUAUGAUAAACUAAGAACAAUAUCAUCUUGAAUAUAAGCAAGUAGAGCAAAGUCAUAAGCAAUAUAUUGAAGUAGAACAAAGUCAUAUUCAUAAUAUUGAAGAACAAAGAUAAUUAGAAAGUAAUUAGAAGCACAAUUAGAAGAUUACCAAGAAUCCUCCUGACAGAUCCGGAAACCAAUCGAAGAUUGACUCCUUCUAGUUCUAAUCCUAUGUAGCUAUGCUAAUCUAGAUAUCUAAUUGAUGUGGUGGCUCUAAUCUUGAUCAGAGGCUUCUUCUCCCUUGAUGGAACAAUGAAUUAGGGUUGAGAGGCUCUCUCCUCCAGGGGCCAGGGGGUCUGGUUUUAUAGUCCCUUCAAGUGAAUAUGGGCCCUUGGAUCAAACCGACAUAGAUUGUAUGGUUUAGAUUCAUCCUUUAGGUCAGUGGAGAUCUCCCGCAAAGCAGAGUCCUGAUUGGACUCACGGGCAGGGCGGGCGCCCUGACCAACUGGGCGGCCGCCCAGGGUCUGGCCCCGUUUCGCCUCCGCUUCGGUCUCGUGGCUUCUGGAGUCUUCUAGAUGUAAGAUAAUUGCGCAGCACGUUAAUAUCUUUACGUAAUCCCGACAUGUGGGCCUUUCUUCCGUAUUUCCUGAUAACCCCCUGCAGAAAUAGACAAACACCAAAACUCGUGGAAUUCUGUCAGAUAAAACCCUAAGUCUGGAUGUUGAUUUCAUUUGGAUCCUUUUCUUUGUUUAUUUGAUAAUUAAAUUUGAUACUUAAGGACCGUCAACAAACUCCCCCAAGCUUACCUCUUGCUCGUCCCUGAGCAAGGAUAGACUCAGCUAUGGAUCAAAAGUUGUUGCAAUAUAUUUUUUUUAAAAAUUGACGGUACACAUGCUUUUUAAAUAAGAUCUCAUCUCUGAGUUAGAGUAAACUGUCAAGACUUAAAACUUACUUACUUUACCUUCACCAUGGGACUUGUAACUGUCACUUCUAUCUUGAGUGGUUAAAAGACAGAACAGUCUAGCCAAGUGCUAUGUCUCUUAUUCUUGAUCAGCUAUAGCUCUGGUGUUUUUGCAGAUUUUCAAAUAAAACUCAGAGAUUCCUUGUAUGAUUCUCUCAGGUCUCUCUUUUGUGGUAUUUCUGGAUCCUUACCAAGGCAGUGAUGGUAUAUGCCUUCUCUCAAGAUAUGUAGUAUUUGUGGUAUAAGGCAUAGUAACAUUGCCUUCUCUCUCAUCCUACUCUAAUAAGGCUUUAAUAUCUGGAGCUCAUAGGUGGGAGAUAAAGUAUACAUACUUACAAGACAUUUAUUGCAUAGUGAAACCAUGGAUCCAAAGAAACAAAUCAAUAAGCCAAAUCAAGAUGUGCAUGUGUGGAUGAAUGAUGUAUGGUGAUGAUAGUGAUAACAAUGAUGAAAACAAUGGUGGUGGAAGUCUAAUUCUACUUUUGCUCUUUUGAGAAGAUACAUACCUUCCUUGCUUUUGAAACUUUAUGAGGAGAAUGAGAUGCUCUUCUUUUUCUUUCCUCUCAGGUGGGUAUCUUGUACCCCUAAUUCUACUGU
rnacentral:lncRNA from 1 species